rnacentral:rRNA from 1 species
GACAGAGGUCCCGAGCGUUAGGCGGAAUCACUGGGCUUAAAGCGUGUGUAGGCGGAGUGCUAAGUACCUUGUGAAAUCCCACGGCUCAACCGUGGAACUGCUCGGUAUACUGGUUCUCUUGAGCCACCUAGGGGCAACCGGAACAAACGGUGGAGCGGUGAAAUGCGCAGAUAUCAGGAGGAACACCGGUGGCGAAGGCGGUUCUCUGGGCCUGUACUGACGCUGAGGAACGAAAGCGUGGGGAGCGAACAGG